UAGUAGAGAAUGCUUUUAAUAAAGAAAUUAACGCAAAUGAAGAAGAAUCAGAAACAAGAAGUGUAUACGUGCGAAAUUGGUUUAUUAAUGCAUGUUACAUUGUUCCUAAAAAAUCUGUUCGAUAUUGUGAAAAUGUUGAAUUAAACUUUGAAUCCAGAAAAAUACAUUACACAGAAUGUUUUAAAGUAACGAAUAAACUUGUUCCGCAAAGAUGGGUUGAAACAGCUAUUUUAAAAAUAAAUUUAAGAUAAGAACGUGAUUUUUAAAAGAGUCUACUAUGUAAGGAUAAUAUAAAUUUCAAAAUUUUACGUUAAUGUUUUAUAAUUAAUUUAAUCACGUGCUACUAGAUAAUGUUUUAAUUCUUUUAUUGUUAAUGAAUGUGUUAAAUUGUAAAGAUUUAUACAUAAUACUUUGUUAAAUUUCACACGUAUAAUCAAUUAAUAAUAUAAAAAGAUGACAUUGAUGUUCAUUUU